AUUGAACGCUGGCGGCAGGCUUAACACAUGCAAGUCGAGCGGGGUGAUGGUGCUUGCACUAUCACUUAGCGGCGGACGGGUGAGUAAUGCUUAGGAACCUGCCUACUAGUGGGGGACAACAUCUCGAAAGGGAUGCUAAUACCGCAUACGUCCUACGGGAGAAAGCAGGGGAUCACUUGUGACCUUGCGCUAAUAGAUGAGCCUAAGUCGGAUUAGCUAGUUGGUGGGGUAAAGGCCUACCAAGGCGACAAUCUGUAGCGGGUCUGAGAGGAUGAUCCGCCACACUGGGACUGAGACACGGCCCAGACUCCUACGAGAGGCAGCAGUGGGGAAUAUUGGACAAUGGGGGGAACCCUGGUCCAGCCAUGCCGCGUGUGUGAAGAAGGCCUUAUGGUUGUAGAGCACUUUAAGCGAGGAGGAGGCUCUUUUGGUUAAUACCCAAGAUGAGUGACGUUACUCGCAGAAUAAGCACCGGCUAACUCUGUGCCAGCCGCCGCAGUAA
rnacentral:rRNA from 1 species